rnacentral:rRNA from 1 species
GUUAGGAAUAUUGGACAAUGGGCGCAAGCCUGAUCCAGCCAUGCCGCGUGAGUGAUGAAGGCCUUCGGGUUGUAAAGCUCUUUAGCCGAUGAUUAUAAUGACUGUAGUCGGAAAAUAAGCCCCGGCUAACUUCGUGCCAGCAGCCGCGGUAAUACGAAGGGGGCGAGCGUUAUUCGGAAUCACUGGGCGUAAAGCGUGCGUAGGCGGCUUUGCAAGUUGGGAGUGAAAGCCCAGGGCUCAACCCUGGAAUUGCUAUCAAAACUGCAAGGCUCGAAUUCGGGAGAGGAUAGCGGAAUUGUCAGUGUAGCAGUGAAAUGCGUAGAUAUUGACAGGAACACCAGUGGCGUAAGCGGCUAUCUGGACCGAUAUUGACGCUGAGGCACGAAAGCGUGGGGAUCAAACAGGAUUAGAUACCCCGGUAGUCC